rnacentral:rRNA from 1 species
CUGGAGGUAUCAGAAGUGCGAAUGCUGACAUAAGUAACGAUAAAGCGGGUGAAAAGCCCGCUCGCCGGAAGACCAAGGGUUCCUGUCCAACGUUAAUCGGGGCAGGGUGAGUCGACCCCUAAGGCGAGGCCGAAAGGCGUAGUCGAUGGGAAACAGGUUAAUAUUCCUGUACUUGGUGUUACUGCGAAGGGGGGACGGAGAAGGCUAUGUUGGCCGGGCGACGGUUGUCCCGGUUUAAGCGUGUAGGCUGGUUUUCCAGGCAAAUCCGGAAAAUCAAGGCUGAGGCGUGAUGACGAGGCACUACGGUGCUGAAGCAACAAAUGCCCUGCUUCCAGGAAAAGCCUCUAAGCAUCAGGUAACAUCAAAUCGUACCCCAAACCGACACAGGUGGUCAGGUAGAGAAUACCAAGGCGCUUGAGAGAACUCGGGUGAAGGAACUAGGCAAAAUGGUGCCGUAACUUCGGGAGAAGGCACGCUGAUAUGUAGGUGAAGUCCCUCGCGGAUGGAGCUGAAAUCAGUCGAAGAUACCAGCUGGCUGCAACUGUUUAUUAAAAACACAGCACUGUGCAAACACGAAAGUGGACGUAUACGGUGUGACGCCUGCCCGGUGCCGGAAGGUUAAUUGAUGGGGUUAGCCGCAAGGCGAAGCUCUUGAUCGAAGCCCCGGUAAACGGCGGCCGUAACUAUAACGGUCCUAAGGUAGCGAAAUUCCUUGUCGGGUAAGUUCCGACCUGCACGAAUGGCGUAAUGAUGGCCAGGCUGUCUCCACCCGAGACUCAGUGAAAUUGAACUCGCUGUGAAGAUGCAGUGUACCCGCGGCAAGACGGAAAGACCCCGUGAACCUUUACUAUAGCUUGACACUGAACAUUGAGCCUUGAUGUGUAGGAUAGGUGGGAGGCUUAGAAGUGUGGACGCCAGUCUGCAUGGAGCCGACCUUGAAAUACCACCCUUUAAUGUUUGAUGUUCUAACGUUGACCCGUAAUCCGGGUUGCGGACAGUGUCUGGUGGGUAGUUUGACUGGGGCGGUCUCCUCCUAAAGAGUAACGGAGGAGCACGAAGGUUGGCUAAUCCUGGUCGGACAUCAGGAGGUUAGUGCAAUGGCAUAAGCCAGCUUGACUGCGAGCGUGACGGCGCGAGCAGGUGCGAAAGCAGGUCAUAGUGAUCCGGUGGUUCUGAAUGGAAGGGCCAUCGCUCAACGGAUAAAAGGUACUCCGGGGAUAACAGGCUGAUACCGCCCAAGAGUUCAUAUCGACGGCGGUGUUUGGCACCUCGAUGUCGGCUCAUCACAUCCUGGGGCUGAAGUAGGUCCCAAGGGUAUGGCUGUUCGCCAUUUAAAGUGGUACGCGAGCUGGGUUUAGAACGUCGUGAGACAGUUCGGUCCCUAUCUGCCGUGGGCGCUGGAGAACUGAGGGGGGCUGCUCCUAGUACGAGAGGACCGGAGUGGACGCAUCACUGGUGUUCGGGUUGUCAUGCCAAUGGCACUGCCCGGUAGCUAAAUGCGGAAGAGAUAAGUGCUGAAAGCAUCUAAGCACGAAACUUGCCCCGAGAUGAGUUCUCCCUGACUCCUUGAGAGUCCUGAAGGAACGUUGAAGACGACGACGUUGAUAGGCCGGGUGUGUAAGCGCAGCGAUGCGUUGAGCUAACCGGUACUAAUGAACCGUGAGGCUUAACCUU